rnacentral:rRNA from 1 species
AUUACUGAAACUUUGUUUUAAUAAUUGAUAGAUAAAUGGUGGCACAGAAUCGGAGGCCCCGACUGUUUACUAAAAACACAACACAGUGCAAUCAUUAAUAUGGUAGUAUACUGUGUGAAAUUUGCCCAAUGCCAUUAAUAUAAAAGCGGUCAUAGGAAACUGUGACUAAUUGAAAAUCUGGUUAAUAGCGGUCUUAACCAUGAGGAUCCUAAGGUAGCAAAAUAAAUUGGCCAUUAAAUGUGGUCCGGUAUCAAUAAUGUAACGAUGGCCUCACUGUCUCUACAACUUGCUCAGUGAAAUUGAAUUACGCGUGCAGAUG